rnacentral:rRNA from 1 species
CUUUAGACCUCAGAUCAGAUAGGAUUACCCGCUGAACUUAAGCAUAUCAAUAAGCGGAGGAAAAGAAACUAACAAGGAUUCCCCUAGUAAUGGCGAAUGAAGUGGGAAAAGCUCAACUUUGAAAUCUGGCAGCUUUGCUGUCCGAGUUGUAGUCUCGAGAAAUGUUUUCCGCGCUGGAACGUGUACGAGUCUGUUGGAAUACAGCGUCAUAGAGGGUGAGAACCCCGUUCACGACACGUCUCCCAGUGCUUUGCGAUACAUUUUUGAUGAGUCGAGUUGUUNGGGAAUGCAGCUCNNNNNNNNNNNNNNNNNNNNNNNNNNNNNNNNNNNNNNNNNNNAAAGUACGUGAAAUUGUUGAAAGGGAAACGCUUGAAGUCAGACGUGCGCGGUAUUUAUACCACUGCAGGCCAGCAUCGGUUUUACGAGCCGGAUAAAGGUCAGAGGAAGGUGGCAGUCUCGACUGUGUUAUAGCCUCUAACUGAAUACGGAAUGAAAGACCGAGGGACGCAGCGCGCCGUAAGGCAAAGGAUUCGUCCUUUUCGCGCUUAGGAUGCUGGUGAAAUGGCUUUAAACGACCCGUCUUGAAACACGGACCAAGGAGUCUAACAUGCUUGCGAGUGUUUGGGUGAUCAAACCCAUACGCAUAAUGAAAGUGAACGGAGGUGGGAUCCUUUAUCGGAGCACCAUCGACCGAUCCAGAUUUUUAAUGAAGGAUUUGAGUAAGAGCACGUAUGUUGGGACCCGAAAGAUGGUGAACUAUGCCUGAAUAGGGUGAAGCCAGAGGAAACUCUGGUGGAGGCUCGUAGCGGUUCUGACGUACAAUCGCUUUGCGCGUCGGAAAGCAGUUUACAUGGUAAACAUGCUAGUAAUUGUUUGCAACACUGUAAAAAUGCGGGGACAUCCUAAAGCUUGAAGUUAUAUGGCAACAAGUCGAAAGACUUUGUCUACACUUCGAGAUAUUACAAUGGAUAAUCCGCAGCGCAGUCCUUUGUCUAAUGACAUGGAAAACGUUCAGAGACUAGAUGUCAGUGGGUCUUACCAAGGCUUAAGGGAUAGUCCAAUUACUUUCGAGAGAAUGUACAUGAAUUGGCAAAUCGAUCGUCAAAUUUGGGUAUAGGGGCGAAAGACUAAUCGAACUAUCUAGUAGCUGGUUCCUGC